rnacentral:rRNA from 1 species
CAGAGGUGGCAAGCGUUGUUCGGAAUUACUGGGCGUAAAGGGCGCGUAGGCGGCCAUCUAAGUCAGACGUGAAAUCCCCCGGCUCAACCUGGGAACUGCGUCUGAUACUGGAAGGCUAGAGUUUGGGAGAGGGAUGUAGAAUUCCAGGUGUAGCGGUGAAAUGCGUAGAUAUCUGGAGGAAUACCGGUGGCGAAGGCGGCAUCCUGGACCAAUACUGACGCUGAGGCGCGAAAGCUAGGGGGAGCAAACGGGAUU